CUCAUACAGCUAGGAGGUUGGCUCAGAAGCAGCCAUCCUUUAAAGAGUGCGUAACAGCUCACUAGUCUAGAGAUUUCGCGCCGAAGAUUUAACGGGGCUAAAACUUAGUACCGAAGAUAUGGGUCAUUGCGGAGCAAUGGAAGCACUAAAUUCUAAUAUCUAAAUUCUAAACAAUACCUAAAUCAUAAAUUCCAAAUUAUAAACGAGAUUAAUUCAAUUUUGGAUUUGUGAUUUGAAAUUUUGAAAUUUGUUUAGUAUUUAAGAUUUUGGAUUUAGGAUUUCCACUGCUUCGCAGUGGCGGUAGGGGAGCAUUUUUAACUGCUGAGAAGCGGAGUCGUGAGGCUCCGUGGAGCGUUAAGAAGAGAGAAUGUUGGAAUUAGUAACCACAAUGCCGGUGAAAGACCGGCACACCGCAAGCCUAAGGUUUCCUUGGCAAUGUUUAUCAUCCAAGGGUUAGUCGGUCCUAAGGGUAAGCCGAGAGGUGAGCCUGAUGGACAGCCAGUUAAUAUUCUGGCACCACUUUCAAUUUUCAAUGGGGUGACGCAGGGUUGUAGGUAGAGUGUAUUAUUGGAUUUACAUUGAUUAGUUGAGGACGUAGCACAGGCAAAUCCGUGCUGCACAAAUCCGAGACUUGUCAGAAGCCCCGCAUUUGCGGGGCGACUCUACCGAGCACGCUGCCAAGAAAAUCCUCUAGAGCCAAAUUGAAAGUGACCGUACCGAAAACCGACACAGGUGGGCGAGGCGAGUAGCCUCAGGUGAACGAGUGAUUCUUCGUUAAGGAACUCGGCAAUUCAACGGCCGUAAGUUCGCGAUAAGGCCUCCCCGACGCAAGUCGGGGUGCAACAAAAGACGCCAGGCGACUGUUUACCAAAAACACAGCUCCAUGCUAACUCGCAAGAGGAUGUAUAUGGGGUGACUCCUGACCAGUGCUGGAACGUUAAACAUGACGGUGGCGCCGUACCUCAUUGAAUUCGGUACGGAAUUUCAAAUGUCAAAUUUCUAAUUUCCAAUCAAUGUCAAAUUUCCAAUGUCAAAUGCCAAAAACAUUUAGUCAUUGGUCAUUGUGAUUUGAUUUGUCAUUAGUCAUUAGGAUUUUGUCAUUCCGCCCGAGCGCAGUGAGGUGCGGCGUUGCUAAUCGUGCUAAGCGCCAGUGAACGUCCGCGGUAACUAUAACCGUGUUAAAGUAGAAAAAGCUGCUUUAAUAAAAUUUGACUAUAUGCUGGAAACUCUGGAGAGUCCGGUGAUACUAGAGUAUAAUUCUACUAUAACUAUAUAAAUAGUAAGAUUAUGCCAAGUGAAAAAUCAUCCGGUGUGUCCCGUAAGGUGGGGACGCCAGACAAUCAGCAGGAAAGACUAAAAACAAUUGGAUGGAUUGUUGGCUAUGUUGACGGAGAAGGAUGUUUUCAAGUCAGCAUAGUAAGAAAUCAAAGAACUAAAUUUGGCUGGCAAGUAUUCCCGGAAUUUGUCGUGACGCAAAAUGAGAAGAGUAAAAAAUCUCUUUAUUUUAUGAAAGAUUAUUUUAAAUGCGGCGAAGUUUUUAUUAAUCGCCGCAAAGAUAAUCAUAAAGAGAAUCUUUACCGUUAUUGUGUCCGCUCAAUCCGCGAUUUAAACGAAAAAAUAAUUCCAUUUUUUGCUAUCAACAAACUGAAAACCGCUAAAGAAAAUGAUUUUAUUUAUUUUUCUAAGGCGAUUAAAAUGCUUGUUGAACAAAGACACUUUAAAUUAAAAGGAAUUAUCAGAAUAGCUAAAAUAGUUCAGCGAAUGAAUAGAAAAAUUCCAUCAAAGUUUUUAGAAUCCUCAGAGACUAUACGUCAAAUCCGCCCUGGGCGGAAAGAUAUAGUCCGAACUGUGCGGCGACGCGCAGAUCCGAAAAAGCUUCGGAGCCCCGCAGCUGUGGGGUUAACAAACAAUAUAAAAAAUAUAUUGAGCGAAAUACCUUG
rnacentral:rRNA from 1 species